GAGUUUGAUCGUGGCUCAGGAUGAACGCUGGCGGCGUGCCUAACACAUGCAAGUCGAACGGGAACCCUUGGAUUCGUCUGGGGGGGAGAGUGGCAAACGGGUGAGUAACACGUUGGUGACCUGCCCCAAAGAGGGGAAUAACCACUGGAAACGGUGGCUAAUACCCCAUGUGGUCUGUCGGUCGGACGGCAGAUUAAAGCGCCCCAUUAGGGGUUGCGCUUUGGGAGGGGCCUGCGGCCCAUCAGGUAGUUGGUAGGGUAAUGGCCUACCAAGCCGAUGACGGGUAGGGGGCGUGAGAGCGUGAUCCCCCACACUGGCACUGAGACACGGGCCAGACUCCUACGGGAGGCAGCAGUGAGGAAUAUUGCCCAAUGGACGCAAGUCUGAGGCAGCAACGCCGCGUGGGUGAUGAAGGCCUUCGGGUUGUAAAACCCUUUUCUGGGGGACGAGAAGGACGGUACCUCAGGAAUAAGUACACGGCUAACUACGUG
rnacentral:rRNA from 1 species